rnacentral:lncRNA from 1 species
CUAGCCAAGGCACAGCUAGUGGAGAGGAGCUUUUGCACCUUCUCUCAGGCAGUAGGGAACCUUAGACCCUCAGCUCCACCUCGCAGACCAACACCUACUGCGCCUAUUCAAUAUAACAAGAGGCCUAGGCUAGUGAUCCACGCUCCACCUCAGGCUCUAGUGGCAGGACGUGGUAAGUCUGUCAGCAUUGUGGCAGGGAUCAUGGGGAUCGACCCUGUUACACUUG